rnacentral:lncRNA from 1 species
CCCCUUUUCAAUAUGUCCUCUUAGAAAGUUAUAAUUAUAUUUAAGUUCCAAAUAAAUCUGAUUAGCAUUACAUUGGGUAAUUUCUUUGUAAAAACCUCUCUUUUUAUUUUUUCCUAAAAGAUGUCCCUAGUUUUUAUUUUUCUCAAAUGAUGCUCUUAUUUUUUGCAAUCCUAAAAGUAUCCCUUAACCUUCGUCGCUUAUCACAUGAUAGAGGAGGUCAUCGAGGAGGUAGGUCAAUAAUGAAAAAGGUCCCGAUCUUAGGGAGGUUAAGGAGAUUGUCAAGAAUAGGAAGGAGACGAAUACAAUGACAUUGGGAGCAAAGGCUAAAGACUGUUUUGGGAGCGAGUGAGAAAGGUCAGGCAACAAGUCCAUACGACGAGUGGAGGUGACAGAUCAAAGGUGAUGAGCGAUCAGGGGUGAACGGUAUUUUUUAGAUUAAAAAAAUUGAGACAUCAUUUAAGGAAAAAAAAAAAUAAAGAAACAUUCUAGGAAAAAUAAAAUAAAUUCAGGGAAAUCACCCUAUUACAUUCUUCCCUAGAAGAAAAGAGCUUAGUUCUCUAAAACUUCACCUACCUUAUUCAUAGGUUGCUCUUGAUAUGAUAAAUCUUUUUCUAAAUCCUUUUCCAAUUGAAUUGGUUCAAAUUCGAUUAUUAGAUCUUCAAUAUACUUCCUCAACAUUCAUAAAUGAAAAACAUCGUAAGCUUCAUUUUUUUUAAAAAUCUCAAAUUAUUUAAUACAAAUAUAGCUCAG